UUGAACGCUGGCGGCAGGCCUCACACAUGCAAGUCGAGCGGAUGAAGGGAGCUUGCUCCUGGAUUCAGCGGCGGACGGGUGAGUAAUGCCUAGGAAUCUGCCUGGUAGUGGGGGAUAACGUCCGGAAACGGGCGCUAAUACCGCAUACGUCCUGAGGGAGAAAGUGGGGGAUCUUCGGACCUCACGCUAUCAGAUGAGCCUAGGUCGGAUUAGCUAGUUGGUGGGGUAAAGGCCUACCAAGGCGACGAUCCGUAACUGGUCUGAGAGGAUGAUCAGUCACACUGGAACUGAGACACGGUCCAGACUCCUACGGGAGGCAGCAGUGGGGAAUAUUGGACAAUGGGCGAAAGCCUGAUCCAGCCAUGCCGCGUGUGUGAAGAAGGUCUUCGGAUUGUAAAGCACUUUAAGUUGGGGGGAAGGGCAGUAAGUUAAUACCUUGCUGUUUUGACGUUACCAACAGAAUAAGCACCGGCUAACUUCGUG
rnacentral:rRNA from 1 species